CACGUAGGGCGCAAGCGUUGUCCGGAAUUAUUGGGCGUAAAGAGCUCGUAGGCGGUUUGUCGCGUCUGCUGUGAAAUCUGGGGGCUCAACCCCCAGCCUGCAGUGGGUACGGGCAGACUAGAGUGCGGUAGGGGAGAUUGGAAUUCCUGGUGUAGCGGUGGAAUGCGCAGAUAUCAGGAGGAACACCGAUGGCGAAGGCAGAUCUCUGGGCCGUAACUGACGCUGAGGAGCGAAAGCAUGGGGAGCGAACAGG
rnacentral:rRNA from 1 species